UGAGCCCGGGAGUUCUGGGCUGUAGUGCGCUGGGCUGAUUGUCCGAUACGCUACAGUCAGCAUCCAUAUAGUGACUUCCCAGGAGUGAGAGACUACCAGGUUGCUUAAGGAGGGGUGAACCGGCCCAGGCUGGAAAUGGAGCAAGUCAAAACUCCUGUGCCGAUCAGUAGUGGGACUGUGCCUGUGCCACCGCACUACAGCCUGGGCAACAU
rnacentral:SRP_RNA from 1 species